rnacentral:rRNA from 1 species
GAUGAACGCUGGCGGCGUGCUUAACACAUGCCAGUCGAACGGAAAGGCCCAAGCUUGCUUGGGUACUCGAGUGGCGAACGGGUGAGUAACACGUGGGUGAUCUGCCCUGCACUUCGGGAUAAGCCUGGGAAACUGGGUCUAAUACCGGAUAGGACGAUGGUUUGGAUGCCAUUGUGGAAAGUUUUUUCGGUGUGGGAUGAGCUCGCGGCCUAUCAGCUUGUUGGUGGGGUAAUGGCCUACCAAGGCGUCGGCGGGUAGCCGGCCUGAGAGGGUGUACGGCCACAUGGGGACUGAGAUACGGCCCAGACUCCUACGGGAGGCAGCAGUGGGGAAUAUUGCACAAUGGGCGCAAGCCUGAUGCAGCGACGCCGCGUGGGGGAUGACGGCCUUCGGGUUGUAAACUCCUGUCGCUAGGGACGAAGCGUUUUUGUGACGGUACCUGGAGAAGAAGCACCGGCUAACUACGUG